CACUUCGGUGGGGAUUAGUGGCGAACGGGUGAGUAACACGUGGGCAAUCUGCCCUGCACUCUGGGACAAGCCCUGGAAACGGGGUCUAAUACCGGAUACUGACCCCCGCAGGCAUCUGUGGGGUUCGAAAGCUCCGGCGGUGCAGGAUGAGCCCGCGGCCUAUCAGCUUGUUGGUGAGGUAACGGCUCACCAAGGCGACGACGGGUAGCCGGCCUGAGAGGGCGACCGGCCACACUGGGACUGAGACACGGCCCAGACUCCUACGGGAGGCAGCAGUGGGGAAUAUUGCACAAUGGGCGAAAGCCUGAUGCAGCGACGCCGCGUGAGGGAUGACGGCCUUCGGGUUGUAAACCUCUUUCAGCAGGGAAGAAGCGAAAGUGACGGUACCUGCAGAAGAAGCGCCGGCUAACUACGUGCCAGCAGCCGCGGUAAUACGUAGGGCGCGAGCGUUGUCCGGAAUUAUUGGGCGUAAAGAGCUCGUAGGCGGCUUGUCACGUCGGUUGUGAAAGCCCGGGGCUUAACCCCGGGUCUGCAGUCGAUACGGGCAGGCUAGAGUUCGGUAGGGGAGAUCGGAAUUCCUGGUGUAGCGGUGAAAUGCGCAGAUAUCAGGAGGAACACCGGUGGCGAAGGCGGAUCUCUGGGCCGAUACUGACGCUGAGGAGCGAAAGCGUGGGGAGCGAACAGGAUUAGAUACCCUGGUAGUCCACGCCGUAAACGGUGGGCACUAGGUGUGGGCGACAUUCCACGUCGUCCGUGCCGCA
rnacentral:rRNA from 1 species